rnacentral:lncRNA from 1 species
AUGUAAGGGGAACAUUUCCCGGACCAUUAGGAACAAGUUUUAUAUGAUUCGGUUGUCGGUUAGUGAAUGAACGGAUUGUUUCGUGUUAGUGUAGGAAAUUUUAUAAGUAUAUGUGUAUAGGAAUCCAAAGGCCACGUGGGUUGAAUCAUAGAUUGUCUAUACUAUGUAAAGUUGUGAAUGUGACAUUCCGGCAUAAACCUACAUGUAAAAGAAGCUUGUGUAUAUAUUCGUGAUUAAUUGAUUGUGCGUAGGAAGGAACAUUGGCAUGUAUGAAGGUAUGGGAUCGUUGGCUUCAUGAAGAAAUGGAGCUGGAUUUGGAUAAGAGUAUUUAA